UGGGUAACCUACCUAUAAGACUGGAAUAACUCCGGGAAACCGGGGCUAAUGCCGGAUAACAUAUCGAACCGCAUGGUUCGAUAGUGAAAGACGGUUUUGCUGUCACUUAUAGAUGGACCCGCGCCGUAUUAGCUAGUUGGUGAGGUAACGGCUCACCAAGGCGACGAUACGUAGCCGACCUGAGAGGGUGAUCGGCCACACUGGAACUGAGACACGGUCCAGACUCCUACGGGAGGCAGCAGUAGGGAAUCUUCCGCAAUGGGCGAAAGCCUGACGGAGCAACGCCGCGUGAGUGAUGAAGGUACUUCGGAUCGUAAAGCUCCUGUUGUUAGGGAAGAACAAAUGUGUAAGUAACUGUGCACUNCUUGUACGGUACC
rnacentral:rRNA from 1 species